UGGGCGUCCAUGGCGGCGGCGGCCGGGGCUCCCGCUCCUCGGGCUGGCAGGUGCGGCGCUCGCUCGGCAGCCUGGAACAGGACACACACAGGGGAAUCGAAUUCAGGACCUCAUGCUUGCCAGGCAGGCGCUGCGCGCUGAGUUAAACCCCCAGCCCUGGCGCUUUCCCUUACGGUAAACACCAGCAUUAGUUAGCAACUUCCCUAGGAGAGUCGAUGCAGCUAAUAAAAAGCCUAUCUACAA